GCAGACACUCAGCGUGUGUCCCAGGUUCUUGCAGCCACCUAUGCCUCCUGUCCCCCAUCCAUCCCAAGGGGUACAAGUGUGUCUGUCCAGAGGGACUGUUUCUUUUGCCUUCUGGUACCUGCAGUGAGUUAAAAGUUGUAUUUUCUUCUGGCAAACGUCUGUACUUGCUGAAAGUCAGCUCUAUGGGACGUGCUAUAGAGAGAACUCUAGUUGAAGAACAUGCUGGGAACCUCUAUUUACUGGACAUUGAUUGGAAGAGGAACUUCAUCUAUUGGUCAAAUGCCCAGGGACAUCUUGUUUACUCAUCUGGAUAUUCAGGAGAAAAGCAAGAGAUUUGGACCCAGCAAACAG
rnacentral:lncRNA from 1 species